CCGACCCCUCCCGAAUAAGUAGAUCACCGCUACGGAGGCGAUCUUGUGGUUCGGCCGAGCCAACCAAACCCUAAGAAUGGCGCAGGACGAGGCGUCGAGAUCCAGGUCGAGGGCGGCGGCGGCGGCGGCGGCGGGCCGGCGAUCUCGACGCUGGGAUGGCCUCUGGGCAAUUGGGGCAUGGUGGUGUGCGGCGUCUGCCUAGGUCUUGGGCGGCUCUGUGCCCGGAGCUGUGGCCGGUGAUCGCGGCGGCGCUGCAGUGGGUGGCCGUGCAUGGGCUGCUACGUGACGUGACGGCAUCGCUGCUGUUCGAAUUGAAGUUUGGUUGUGUGUGAGUGCACCGGGAGGAGCUGGUACCCAGCGAACUAUCACUUUUGUUAAAGCAGGGAUCGAGCCUUUUGUCAAAGAAGAAAUAUAUACUCCAUUUUUCCCACUGUGGUGGGUGGUCGUCGAUUCACAGUAGGCCGACCAGUCAUGCAACAGCGCUGGUGAGUCCUGGCAUCAGGUUUCGUUGACCGUUGGCUUGCUUGUUGAUGUGGACUACAUCUCCUACCAGCAAGACGGUCGGUAACCAGGUCUUCGACAAUGGAGCUCUCCAGUAUCGCCCCCUCUCCAUAAAUUUGCAGGAGAGAAGAGGAGAAGCGGACAAUGCUAAUGCAGUGGGCCGAGGCUGAGGCCCAAUCACCACCCUCUUCUCCCCGCUGACCUCAGGUCCAAGCUACCGACGUGGGAUCCAGGCCGCUGCCGCCGUCACCCUGAAAAAGCGAGGUGACUGGACGACAACGACCAAAACGAUGCCCAGAAGUGCAAGGCGGCUGGACGACAGCGACCAUGAUGAUGCAUGAUAAGGUGAGCCAGAGGAAGCUGCAUGACGAUGAGCACGGCGAUCCGUCGUCCUCGACCGCGGCUGGUUCCCUCAGACAGCGGGUGGCGGCGGAUCCAGUCAUGCUCCUCGAGCUUUCCGUCGUCGUGCUACCGAGGGCAUCUUCACCCACAUCUCCUCACGCCGGGUUGCCAGCACGUGGUGUGGUGGAUUUGGUUUUUAGAAUUUGUUUCACAGCUAUUUAACUGAAAUGAUGAGCUCCCAAUCAAGCCAGGCUCCAGGAAAAGAUAACAAGUGGUACAAGGCUGGCCAUGUGAGCCAGUAGGACUACAAGUCUACAAGGAUCUACAGUACUGACAUGGCACAGUCUACGUAAGGGGGUGCCUCAGUUUGGUCUGCCGUAGGCCUUCAUCGCUAUUUUGAAUCACAUGCUCCUUUUAGUCGGAGGUGAGGUGCUCAGAUUUGGAAAAUUGGUUACUCUUGUUUUGUUCACUUCCUAACUUGCAAUGAACAAAACAGUCUCUGCAAUAUUUUGUUUUUGUUAUCUUCAUUAUAUGAGCACAAAUAUGUCUAUCAUAAGAUAUGCUAGAGUUGACAACCGGAACUAGCCACUUAAGCAUUAACAUUGUAUAGGCAGUAUAUACAUUAAAACAAUCAAUGGCGGUGCUAAUUUCGGCUUUUUUUAUUUCUGGAGUCAAGAAAUAAACUUUAUUUAAAAUGUUUAUAUAUUCAUCUGAAUUGGAAACAAUCUUGCUGCACCAUUGAAGUUAUCUAAUGAGGGAUACUUCUUUUCUAUUUUAGCGUAUCAAUGGCCCCAGGAACUCGAGUGAGGAACACAUCAUGCCCCUUCAAACUGACAUAUCAAUAUUAUCAUCAUGUAUCGAAGAUACUAGGCACCAUAUGACUUUCUGAUAUAUGUAUAUUCUUAUGCUUAGAAGUUUCCCACUUUAAAAUUAGAUUUAACUCACCAUAUAUAAUGCACUCAAUCCAAUCGAAAAGAUUAAGUAGCAAUUUUCCCAAAACAAUUGUGUUUACACUUGUUCUCCUACUGUUUAGAGGUUGGUUUAGUUUUACCCUGUCAAAACAAAAUCAAAUAUACUUCUCCAAAACUGGUCUAGCUUAUCACAUUGCGAAGAUCCACACUGUUGCAGUUCCCUUUGUAAACAUGUACUUUCAGUGCUGGUGAUAUUUUUAUCACAUCAUGCAAUUUAGAUAAGGCCUGAAAACAGCCUCUGACAGAACUGUAGGGAAAGGCUGCGUACAAUAGACCCAAAGUGGUCGGACCCUUCCGUGGACCCUGUGCAAGUGGGAGCUACAUGCACCAGACUGCCCUUUUUUUUAUGCAAUUUAGAUAAGAAAUACAAAGAAGAAAUAACUAGGUCAUAUCAAGGGUGGUUUCACUCUAAAUAUGACUAAUCUAUACCUACUAUUAAAGGGAGGUGAUAUUCUUGGUUUGGUCCCGCUUCAAUUAAUUUCACGUACGUUAUUUGGUUUCGUUACUUGCCACCCUUUUUGUCCCAACGGAGGAAGCCCAACCAGCGGUGCACUGUGGCCCAAGUCCGGAGAACUGGCAAAAAAAUAAAAUUGCCGAUGGGAGGGUUCGAGGAUUUUUCUUCUUCCAUUGCAACGCAUGAGCCUUUUUCUAGUAAACAAAAGUCAUUUAGAGCUUCAAAUGUAGGAAUUAUAUAUGAUCUAUUGGAUUUGUAACUUCCUAACAAUUAGAAUAGAACACUUACUCAGCAAAGCAAAUUAUGAUAUAUUGGUUCGUUUUUCAAAGCAAUCAUGACAAUAAAGUGGACGUGGAUAGAAAAACAAGGCCUACCAGGAGAAGAAAGGUGAGGAGGAAGAAAUGCACAAGAGAUUUGGUUGCACACAUAAACACUCUCGGUAGUUAGCGACUUGAAUCUUCGAGGUAUACCUGUAUGAUAAUUUAUACUCCCUCCAUUCAGAAUUACCUGUCGUUCAACAUUAUUUGCAGGAGUGUGUGCCCAUUUAUCCUCCGAACAUUAUUUUCUCAAGAAAUGAAGCUUGUGAAUUGUGAAAUUGAAAAAAGUUGGUUUUUUUACGCAUAAGUCUGAAUCUUUAUUGACUUUGUGGCUUUUUUGCUAUGGUUAUUUUUUUUUGUUACUACUAGCUACUUCUAAUGUAGACUAUUGGCUUGCAUCCCCUUCAUUACUGAUAAAAAUUCCCAUCUACAAACUAGCUUGUACUAUUAUUAAUUAUAUUCCUUUAAAUAAAUUUUUUUUUUACAAAUUUUGUCAUGGAGGUAAAUUAUCAUAUCAACUUUAGGAGGAGAAACCGGAAGUUUAAGGUUCUGUUUGUUCUUGUAGAAUUUUCUCAUUAUGAAUAUUUACAUAAUUUUACUAGUCUAUGUUCUCAUAGGUUUACUAAUUCAUUCGGAUUCGAAAAUUAUGGUUUGUAAAACCUUUGUGUUUUCUAGUCCUUUUUAGUGUAUAGAAGUAUGGUGUGUAAAACCUUUCAAAAAUUCGGAUUCAAAACACUGGGUUCAGCAUGGACAUGCAUGGAUAUGGGGAAGCUUAUGUACCUAUUUAUGUUUUUAUCAAGUAACUUCAUGCAUUAGUGUCAGUUACCAUCACUCUCACUUCAUGUAUCCUUCAGAUUCAGCUACAGAUAGAAGAGCCUUGGUAGGAAUAGGCAUACAUUAAAAUCAUGAAACUUUCUGGAGAAAAUACAGAAGCAUUCAUCAUAUAUAAUGAAGGCCUAAUAAAUAUCCAAAACGUCGCAAUAUAUGUCUCACGAUAUCUGAACCCAUCUUCGUUUCAUGUUUUUUAGCUGCAUCUUUGUUUCCUAGCAAUAUAUGAACCUAUGUUCACUUGGUAAUUGAACAAAACUGAUAUCUUGGUUAAAAAUACUACAGCGCGAGGUAGCUCUCAUUGACAAUUUAGUUUAAUUGAUACAUGCCUCAAUGAACCAUGUAACCUUCAGUAUUAACGGUACAUGCCUCAAUGAACCAUGUAACAUUUCAACCUUUCAAAAAAAAACAUGUAAUAUUUCAACGAACCACGUAACCUUCUUUCUUAAUGAUACAUUCAACCCCUAUCGUCUUCAUCUCGCGCUGAUAGCAGCAACGGCAGUGGAGCAGACAAUGGGUUCGUGCCUGCCGUCGGUGUGUAGUGAUGGGGCGGUGGCGGUUGGCGUGGUUCGUCAGGGUGCGUGUGACACCGCGUGUGACGCCGCCCUGGCUAGGUGGCAGUGGACUAGGACAGCCAGCCAGUCGUGCACCACCAGACUCCCUGCAUUCCAGUCUCGGUCGCUUAUCCAGCUAUGCUGCUGCCGCUUUUUUUGUCCAUGCCCACAUGCAACAUUCCCACAUACAGGUAUCCAAAGGUUCGAAUAGAGAAGUCUUACCUGCCACACGACGAGGUAACAUACAUUCCCACCCAUCAUGCAUGAGAGAGAUAUGGAGCUCAACUCUUUCCUCUAUCAAUCUAUAUGCUUCUCCCGGUAAAUCCUUAGAUCUUAGAAUUUUGAGCCAAUGUUCCUUAAUGUUUUCAUAGAAGCUUCCCUUUGCAUAUAUGUCUAGAUUUGAAUGGAUUACCAGGCUUUCCUUUUUUGGAACCAUCCAUUCUUUUCUUUGGAUUUAAUGGCUAAUGUUAAGUUGGCUUAGAUUUUCAGAAUCGAACUUUAUAUAGGCAUGCCUUAGCCACAUCAGAUGCUUAAUGCUCGUCCUUGCUCAGAUCAUCAGAACCAGACUCAAUGCGUAAUGCUCAAGCUUGCUUUCACUGUCAAGAAUAACGAUAUCUCCAUGGCACACUGCCUCCUACUCAAUACACCAAAAUAAAGCAUCCAACAAAUUAGCCAAUUCAAAGGACUAAAAUGCAGUGGUCAAACUCAUGAAGCAAUUCGCCUAUGACUAAAUUGCAUCAGGACAAGCUGUGCAUUGUCAAUACCUUCUUUGGACAUUUCGAAUGGCUACCUACAGGAAGGGUUUGUUUCUCGGUCAAUAUUUCCUGUAACUGGCCGGUUUCCACUUCUUUCGGCCCCUCAUGAUAAAUGAGCACUGACUAACAAAAAAAAUCAGAUUUUGAGAAUUAUUGUUGUUGUUUUAAGUGCAUGUCCCCAAAAUGAUAAAGGUCGAUCGGUAAGUGACAUUAUUGACCUCACCAUGUCUAACAAGGUUUGGUUAAGCCUCUCAGAUACUUCAUUUCUCUAUGGAGUUUCAGGAGGAGUAAGUUGUGAUACAAUUCCACAAUCACUCAGAUGUUCGCUAAACUCAUGACUCGGAUAUUCUCCUCCAUGAUCUAAUUGUAGAAAUUUUAUAUUUUUGCCACGAUGAUUCUUAACUUUGUUAUGAAAUUCUUUGAACUUUUUAAAUGUUUCAGGCUUAUGUUUCAUCAAGUAAAUGUAAUCAUGUCUACUCAAAUCACCAAUGAAGGUUAUGAAGUAUAAGUAUCCACCCUGUGCAGGUGUGUGCAUCAGACCGCAUACAUCACUAUGUAUUAUCUUCAAUAAUUCACCUGCCUAUUCACGAUGACCUGUGAAUGGCGUCUUAGUCAUUUUACCCAUCAGACAAGCCUCGCAUGUGUCAAAUGAUUCAAAAUCAAAAGAUGGUAACACUCCAUCCUUAUGAAGUUUUUGCAUA